rnacentral:rRNA from 1 species
AAUGAACGCUGGCGGCAGGCCUAACACAUGCAAGUCGAACGGAUCCUUCGGGAUUAGUGGCGGACGGGUGAGUAACGCGUGGGAACAUACCCUUUGGUACGGAAUAGCCUCGGGAAACUGGGAGUAAUACCGUAUGUGGUCGAGAGACGAAAGAUUUAUCGCCAAAGGAUUGGCCCGCGUUGGAUUAGGUAGUUGGUGGGGUAAUGGCCUACCAAGCCGACGAUCCAUAGCUGAUUUGAGAGGAUGAUCAGCCACACUGGGACUGAGACACGGCCCAGACUCCUAAGGGAGGCAGCAGUGGGGAAUCUUAGACAAUGGGGGAAACCCUGAUCUAGCCAUGCCGCGUGAUCGAUGAAGGCCUUAGGGUUGUAAAGAUCUUUCAGGUGGGAAGAUAAUGACUGUACCACCAGAAGAAGCCCCGGCUAACUCCGUGCCAGCCGCCGCAGUAA